GAUGAACGCUGGCGGCGUGCCUAAUACAUGCAAGUCGAGCGAACAGACGAGGAGCUUGCUCCUCUGACGUUAGCGGCGGACGGGUGAGUAACACGUGGAUAACCUACCUAUAAGACUGGGAUAACUUCGGGAAACCGGAGCUAAUACAGGAUAAUAUAUUGAACCGCAUGGUUCAAUAGUGAAAGACGGUUUUGCUGUCACUUAUAGAUGGAUCCGCGCCGCAUUAGCUAGUUGGUAAGGUAACGGCUAACCAAGGCAACGAUGCGUAGCCGACCUGAGAGGGUGAUCGGCCACACUGGAACUGAGACACGGUCCAGACUCCUACGGGAGGCAGCAGUAGGGAAUCUUCCGCAAUGGGCGAAAGCUUGACGGAGCAACGCCGCGUGAGUGAUGAAGGUCUUCGGAUCGUAAAACUCUGUUAUUAGGGAAGAACAAAUGUGUAAGUAACUAUGCACGUCUUGACGGUACCUAAUCAGAAAGCCACGGCUAACUACGUG
rnacentral:rRNA from 1 species